rnacentral:rRNA from 1 species
AGGCAUGCGUUCCAUUAGGCAGUUGGCGGGGUAACGGCCCACCAAACCGACGAUGGAUAGGGGUUCUGAGAGGAAGGUCCCCCACAUUGGUACUGAGACACGGACCAAACUCCUACGGGAGGCAGCAGUGAGGAAUAUUGGUCAAUGGGCGUAAGCCUGAACCAGCCAAGUCGCGUGAGGGAUGAAGGUUCUAUGGAUCGUAAACCUCUUUUAUAAGGGAAUAAAGUGCGGGACGUGUCCCGUUUUGUAUGUACCUUAUGAAUAAGGAUCGGCUAACUCCGUGCCAGCAGCCGCGGUAAUACGGAGGAUCCGAGCGUUAUCCGGAUUUAUUGGGUUUAAAGGGUGCGUAGGCGGCCUUUUAAGUCAGCGGUGAAAGUCUGUGGCUCAACCAUAGAAUUGCCGUUGAAACUGGGAGGCUUGAGUAUGUUUGAGGCAGGCGGAAUGCGUGGUGUAGCGGUGAAAUGCUUAGAUAUCACGCAGAACCCCGAUUGCGAAGGCAGCCUGCCAAGCCAUGACUGACGCUGAUGCACGAAAGCGUGGGGAUCAAACAGGAUUAGAUACCCUGGUAGUCCACGCAGUAAACGAUGAUCACUAGCUGUUUGCGAUACACAGUAAGCGGC